GAUGAACGCUGGCGGCGUGCCUAAUACAUGCAAGUCGAGCGAACAGACGAGGAGCUUGCUCCUCUGACGUUAGCGGCGGACGGGUGAGUAACACGUGGAUAACCUACCUAUAAGACUGGGAUAACUUCGGGAAACCGGAGCUAAUACCGGAUAAUAUAUUGAACCGCAUGGUUCAAUAGUGAAAGACGGUUUUGCUGUCACUUAUAGAUGGAUCCGCGCCGCAUUAGCUAGUUGGUAAGGUAACGGCUUACCAAGGCAACGAUGCGUAGCCGACCUGAGAGGGGGAUCGGCCACACUGGAACUGAGACAGGGUCCAGACUCCUAAGGGAGGCAGCAGUAGGGAAUCUUCCGCAAUGGGCGAAAGCCUGACGGAGCAACGCCGCGUGAGUGAGGAAGGUCUUCGGAUCGAAAAACUCUUUUAUUAGGGAAGAACAAAUGUGUAAGUAACUAUGCACGUCUUGACGGUACCUAAUCAGAAAGCCACGGCUAACUACGUG
rnacentral:rRNA from 1 species